UCUCGACAUCACAGACAAUAUGAAGUGUGUAGUGGUCAGAAUUACCGACGGUGAAGAUGGCCUUUAGGCCGCAAAGGCUUGGAUGGCCCAGUCUGUGGAUUAUUAGACAAAAAUAUGUUAAUAUGGGUAUUGCUAAUGGCUGAAAUUUCUCCUUAAGUCCAUCACUAACUUCAGGUAGUAGACUUUGAUAUACUGUUUUGUUUUUUUGCUGAGUUUAUGUUCCUUACACAAUAAAGUAGGUGCUUGUGAAAGAAUACAAUACGUCACAAUCAGGUAAUUACCUAAAAAUAUAGAAGACAGGUAAAUUCAGUGUCUGUUUAAAUGGCUCGUGAAGACAAAGGUAAUCUUAGCUCCUAAAUGUGUAAUUCAUUAAGAUUGGAGGUUGGCAGGGUCAGGGUAAAAUUUGCAAUAAUUAGCUGACUGAUAUUACAACGUUUGUGAUUUUCUUGAGUGGGGAUCAGUGCAAGCGUGCAGGUUUGGUUUCAGCAUUGGUAAGGACCGAGUCAGAGCCAAACCCCUUCAAAUCUACGUAGUUAAAGACAUUAAAUCAUGAAUAUUUUCACAAAUAGUCAAUUUCUAUAUGAUAAUGUCCUGUGUGACAGUUCUGACUUCAUGGAUUUUGUUGACACAGGAAGUGUUUUGUGUUCUUUAUGUUUUUGUGAACAUUCUUUACUGUUUUACGUUUUACUGUUUUAAAUUAUGUAGAUUUUAAUGUAAUAUUAGAUUAAUAUUCAUCCAAACACAGAUAUUAAGGCAUAAUUCAUUAGAAUAUGACUGACAUCUGAUAUAGUCCAAACAUCUUUUUAAUUUGAUAAAAUACUUUCAGAAUAUUUAUACGUAAUAUAAAAACAUAUUUCAUUUAACAAUUCAUUGAAAUAAUCAGUCAUUCCUACUCAAAGGUAAUAUAAGUAACUAUUAUAUGAUUAUAUGAAUUAAAAUAUUAAUAUAAAACAAAUAAUGAAAGACUUAUUUCCCAGAGCUGUGCUGUCCCAUCUCCUCUCCCAACUCUACAAACUUAUCAGCAUGGAAAUACAGUUGAAACUGUUUAUAGUGAUCACGGUUAUAGCUAUCAAUCACUUGCGGUAUAUGUAUCAAAGAGCAUUGGGACAGAUUCAUUAUUGUACAAAUACUAUUUAAAUAAUUUAUUUAUAGUAAUCAAGUAGUGUUCAUUUUGGAUAUGGGAAAAAUUAAAACUAUGGUAAUUUUUUUUUACUUUACUUUCCUUUGAUAGCCCUUUGGUAACCCAUCUGCUUCUAGCUAGCUACCUAAGGCUAAUCUGCCAUGAAGUAAUUUCACCCAGAUAGACAUGAUCACUAUAAACGGAUUCUACUGUAUCGUGAAUACAGUUACAAGUACCACACCUCAACACACUAUAUUUAUUUCUCUGCGUAUUUAUGCAUCCCCUGAAAUGUCUAAUCUCCAUUUUUAUAACCCAUAUUUAAAAUUUUAUAAUUUAAAAGGAACAGGUGUUGACUAAAUUUUGCCAUAAGGAAGUAUGACACUGUACUGCCGGCAGGGCGCGUGUUCCAGCAUACCCUGCGUACAGUUGUAAAUAGCCCUUGCAUUGUUGUUGUUAAUGUUAUUUCCUUAUUGUCGUGCGUGUGUUUGCCCGUAUCUUGCGUGUACCCUGUCCCGAUUCCCAUGUGUAUUUACCUUACAUAAAUCUCCCGCCAUGUAUGCGUCUUACAGUUCGGCGUCUGACAACCUUCUAUUUUCUAUUUGCAAUUGGUUUGGUGCCUGUUUGGUGCCAGAUGUAGUCCUUUUCAGGACUAUCAAUUAAGAGCGUGUCCUCUCUGGCUAGCAAGUCUCCGUCUCUUUCUCUGUUUCUCAAUACUUAUUGUUAUAAAAAGUGCAGCAUCAAAAGCUGUGUAACAUAGGCCUAGGUACCAAAUUCAAAACUAUUGUCUAAUGACAUAAAAAGCUUACAAUUACAAUUUACAGUGUAAUGUCUAUUUAUUAAAAAAAUGUUUUACUGUGACAUGUGAUAAAUAUAUAUUAUCUGCAAUAAAGGUAACACAAAGGAACAAUCCCAUUCAAAAACCAAUCAAUGAGGGCACGGGGCAACAAGACACCGGUGAAGAAACUAACACUAAUGAGCACAGAGUACUAAGGAAUUUACAACACCUGAAACUAAGAAAACAUUGGGAAAUACUGCAGUAGGGGAAAAAUAAAAAAACAAGUAAAACAAAACAUAACCAAGGCAGGGGCAGACAAUCAUAAACAAGGCAAAUUAAACACAGGGAUAAACAAUAUCAAAUAAAGGAUAAACCAAAACAGGGAAGCAGAGAACUAAUGAACACUUGGAAAACAGAAAACGAAUAAACAGACGAAGCAAGUUAGGUUUGUUCAUCCAUUAUCUAUACUCACUUUGUAACUGCCUCUCUCUCUAGCUCUCUCUCUCCCCUCUCUCUCUCCUUCUGUUAGUGAUGGCGCGUGGCGCCCAUAGCCCUGGCAGCAGUGGUCUGGUGGGGCUGGCAGUGUUCUUGGCCAAAGGGGACCCUGAGAGGAUCCUGCUUAUUGUGGUGCACAGGAGACAGUCAGCCUGUCGGUACCACCAACUGGAACUUGUCGGCCAGUAUCUACUGGUGGGAGCAGUCUGGAGCCUGUGCGGGGGGCAGCCACAGUGGCGAUGUAGUGCCAUGUGGCUGCUCGCCACCUGCCUCUCUUCAGCCCUGCUGUGGACCACCUGGCUUAGCUUUCGUCUACGUGGCAACGCAGCUCUCGGCCUGUCCUCCGCCUGGGAUGACUGGGGGCAGGCCUUGCUGCUGGUGGCACAGGCCUGGGUGCUGCUGGUGCUGCAUGCCGUCCCUAAGGUCCACGCUACCUUGCGGGCCACACGCCACCGGAGGGACGGCUUUCCCUUUGAUGACAGCAGCUCAGCUUCUAAAAGUGACCAGAACGGCACCAUGAGAACAGAGCCCAUUGCUCCCUCCCAGGGCAGCAUUGACCAGCCCACUGUGCAGGUUUUCAUAGUGGACAAGGCAGCUGUGUCCUCCAUGCCCCCAACUUCACAGUUUUCCACAGGCCCCCAUGACGCAAAGCCUUUCCUAUUUGGGCCCCCCCUGGACCUGGAGCUAAGCCAGCUUUCUCUGUUGUCCCCGCAAGAUGAUGGGCUUGCCUGCCCACACACAUUGGCACACACACAUCCAGUAAAUGUGCUGUCAUGCUCACAUAGUUGCUCAGCUUGUUGACUUUGUAUAAUGGUGGUUUAUGUUUUUUUACUAAGUGCCAACAGUCUCACACACUUGCAGUCUGCUGCUGACAUUGACAUGGUCAGUUUGUGACCUGUCUUAUAUCCUGAACUAAUGUAUCUUCCACCCACAAUAUGAUUCUGUUCUUUCUCUCUUUCUCUCUCUCUGUUAGCAAUGGCAUUUUCUUCCAUGGUCCAUAUAAUUUUCAUCCUGUCCCUGGUCAGCCACAGUUCCUCCUUGGACGUGGCUUCUCCUCCUGGCAAGGAAAACACGGUGUGGGUCAUGGUGGCGACGGCAGCAAUGGUUGGGGCACUGGUGGCUUUGCUGUUGCUGGGGCUGGUGGGCCUGAUGUGGCGAGUGGCAGAGGUACGCAGUGGAGUGGGACCGCUGCUCCUGCUGCUCGCCGGCAUCGUUGGGCUCUGCAGCCUCAGCAUUACGUACCUUAUAGAGCGGGGAGAGCAUCUCUGCGUCGUACGGCGCAGUUUCUGGGGGGUGCUAUUUGCCCUCAGCUUUGCUUGCCUGGUGGUCCAUGGUGUGCGGCUGCGGCAGUUGGUGCGUGGUGCCCGUAGUCCAGGCAAUGGUGUUCUGGUGGGGCUGGCAGUGUUCCUUGCCAUAGUGGAUCCUGAGUGGAUCCUACUCAUUGUGGUGCGCAGGGACCUGUCAGCCUGUGAAUACCACCCACUGGAACUGGUGCUAACCAGUUCCUAUGUGCUGCUCCUGCUUGCGACAGCACUGGUGGGAGCAGUCUGGAGCCUGUGCGGGGGGCAGCCACAGUGGCGAUGUAGUGCCAUGUGGCUGCUCGCCACGUGCCUCUCUUCAGCCCUGCUGUGGACCACCUGGCUUACGUUCCAUCUUCAUGGCAACGCAGCUCUCGGCCUGUCCUCCGCCUGGGAUGACUGGGGGCAGGCCUUGCUGCUGGUGGCACAGGCCUGGGUGCUGCUGGUGCUGCAUGCCGUCCCUAAGGUCCACGCUACCUUGCGGGCCACACGCCACCAGAGGGACGGCUUUCCCUUUGAUGACAGCAGCUCAGCUUCUGAAAGUGACCAGAACGGCACCAUUAGAACAGAACCCAUUGCUCCCUGCCAGGGCAACAUCGACCACACCACUGUGCAGAUUUUCAUAGUGGAUGAGGCAGCCGUGUCCUCCAUGCCCCCCACCUUCACAGGUCCCCAUGAUGCACAGCCCCUCCCACUUGGGCCCCCCCAGGACCUGGAGCUAGGCCAACUUCCCUAGUUGUCCCCGCAUGAUGGAAAUAUCCGUGGUGUCAUGACACUUACAGUAAAAGGUUGCAACUGCUUUGAAGGUUACAAUGAAGUCUCUGAUCUUCCACUUACUGUGUAUCCAGCGCAAUCACCCUCAGCACGGGAGCUCCGCAAGGCUAUGUUUUGAGCCCACUGCUGUACACCCUCUACACCUACGACUGUGUAGCCACACUCAGCUCAAAUUCCUAUGUGAAAUUUGCUGAUGACGCAGUAGUGCUCGGCCUCAUCUCCAACAAUGAUGAGUCUGCCUCCUUGAAGGAAGUGGAGAACCUUGGAAGGUGGUGCCUGCAUAACAGCCUCAGCUGAACGUCAGAAAAAUAAAGGAGCUGAUGUCGGACCACAGGAGGCAGUGGGGCUCCUGCACACCUGUCCACAUUAAUGGAGCUACAGUGGAAAGAGUGAGCACCUUCAAAUACCUCGGUGUCCACCUACAGGAGGACCUCACCUGGUCCACACACGCACGUACUCUGGUCAGCAAGGCGAGGUAGCGGCUCGAAUUCAGACAAAUGCUUCCGCAGCCUUAUGACCAGAAUGGAAAGGUCAAGGAGGAGCUUUUUCCCACAGGUCAUACUGUAAGGCUCCUAAACCAGGACAAUACUCAGUGCCUCUAGGUAUUGCUUUCACACUGUCCAAAUUGUUGGCACAUACCUCAGGCCUUUAUUGCACUUAUAUUGCAAAGCAAGUACCUCUUAUCUAUCACUUAUGUACAGAUUAUGUACAGCUGAAGAUUUCAUAUAUAUUUUUUAUCUCAUAUUGUUAUUUUUUCUAUGUAUUUUGUUAUCAUGCACGGCUGCUCAGAGUGACCAGGGUUACAUUCCACUACGUUGUAUGUGUACGACUGUGUACGUGACGAAUAAAUCUCUUGAAUCUUAAA